CCUACGGGGGGCAGCAGUGGGGAAUAUUGCACAAUGGGGGAAACCCUGAUGCAGCGACGCCGCGUGAGUGAAGAAGUAAUUCGUUAUGUAAAGCUCUAUCAGCGGGGAAGAAAAUGACGGUACCUGAGUAAGAAGCCCCGGCUAACUACGUGCCAGCAGCCGCGGUAAUACGUAGGGGGCAAGCGUUAUCCGGAUUUACUGGGUGUAAAGGGAGCGUAGACGGCAGUGCAAGUCUGUAGUGAAAGGCGGGGGCUCAACCCCCGGACUGCUCUGGAAACUGUACGGCUGGAGUGCAGGAGAGGUAAGUGGAACUCCAUGUGUAGCGGUGGAAUGCGUAGAUAUAUGGAAGAACACCAGUGGCGAAGGCGGCUCGCUGGUCUGCAACUGACGCUGAGGCUCGAAAGCAUGGGUAGCGAACAGGAUUAGAUACCCUUGUAGUC
rnacentral:rRNA from 1 species